rnacentral:rRNA from 1 species
AACGUAGGACGCAAGCGUUAUCCGGAGUUACUGGGCGUAAAGCGCGGGCAGGCGGCUCGAUGCGUCUGAUGUGAAAUCUCUUCGCUCAACGGGGAGAGGCCAUUGGAAACGGUCGAGCUGGAGGGCAGUAGAGGUAGGCGGAAUUCCGGGUGUAGUGGUGGAAUGCGUAGAGAUCCGGAGGAACACCAGCGGCGAAGGCGGCGUCCUGGACUGGUACUGACGCUCAGGAGCGAAAGCGUGGGGAGCGAUCCGG